GCCUCGGUAGCUCAGUCGGUAGAGCAGAGGACUGAAAAUCCUCGUGUCGACGGUUCGAUUCCGCCCUGAGGCACCA
rnacentral:tRNA from 3 species